GCAAGAAAACUGUUUGGAAAGGUUUGGCUUUGCUGAAUGAUGAUGAAUAUCUUGUUUAUAUAGUGUUCUCUUUUACCAUUUAUGUAUUUCUUGUGUCGCAUCUUUGUAUUUUGAUUUGCUGAGUUUCUAUUGUUAUUGACUCCUGUUACAAAUACUUUACAUUUACGCGUCUCAUAUUAUAAUUGCAUCUGAACUAUUAUAGCCGAAGUGCCAAAAAGAUUUCUCCUUUAAGAAUGAAAAUGAUUACUUAUUGUUUGUGGAAGAAGGAAUUAUUUGGCAAGAAAUAAAGAAAUAGGACUUUCAAGAGUGCAAAAUAUCUAUGUACAUAUAAUUGGAUGUUAUUCAUGUUUAAAUCCAACAAUUUCUUCAGAGAAAAGACAGCAACAUUAGUCAACUUUGUUUACCUAAUGUCUUAAUGAUCUACAGAUGAUUUCAUAUAUGACUCGAUCAUUGUUUAAAAAUGUUUAUGUCAUGUUUUAUAUGUACAUAGAUAUUUUCUUUCAUCUUUUGAAAUUCAUUGUGGAAAUGCUUAAUGAUACUGUUUAGUUAAUCAUUUUUUUUCAUUUGAGGUUUUUAUUGCAUUUAUGUCUAUAUACAUUUAGCUUCUGUCCCAAUUAAAACAUUGUUUGGUUUUUUAAUUACAGGCUUUUCCAUGCAUUGAUUUCUGUUUCUAUUUGGAUAUAUCAUUUAUUUAGCAUGCAGCAAACUAUAGAACGUUAUAGGCGGCAUACAAGGGAUAACGAAACCAAUAAGCCAAUUGAACAAAACCUGCAGCAUCUAAAGGCUAAAUCAGCAAACAUGUUGAAGACAGUAGAGGAUCUUGAAGUUUCAAGAAGGUAUUGUUCUUUUUAUAAGAUUCAACCCCCACCAAAAUAUAUAUUGGCGUUAAAAUAUAAGGUAAGUCCAUGUACUCUUAAAAAUUUUGAUCCAUCUUUGUAUCUCACUGUAAUAGACAUUAAAGGCUUUCUGCUAUGCAGCAAUAAGCUCCAAUUGCAGGCUUUUUGGCAUAUGUAGAAUUAUCUUGGCACUCACAAAUGCUUUUGCUUGCCAAGGAUGUUUCUGGUCUACUUAGAUGAACAAUGCUUAUUUGUUUUUUUUUGUAUUCUUUUAACUAUAAAUUAUAAGAAUAGAGUCUUAAUGACAAUUAUUAUCAAUGCUCUUUUACUCAGUUUCUAGUGCAGCAAGUGUGAGCUAAGAAGAAAAGCUAUUUUUUUCUUGUUUGUAAAAUUGCUAAAACGUGUGUGCUAAAACUGACUACUGCAAAUAUGACAACCAGCUCCUCACACUUUUUAAGUCUUCACUCUACUUCACAGGCCUUGUUUCUACAUUUGGAGCCUCCUAUGUUACUAGAAACGAAGGACGUCGAGCUAGCAUUCUUGUUGGUGCAGUCAGCUUCUUCCUAGGAGGAGCUAGCAAUGCAGGUGCGGUGAAUAUCACAAUGUUGAUCAUAGGACGCAUUCUUCUUGGUGAAGGCAUCUAAAUGUGUUUGGUAUUUUAGUUAUCCAACAUUUAUUGAUGCACUUAGAGAUUUGGAUGAUGCUCUUACAAUGGUGCACCUAUUUGCAAUGUUAACUUUGAAUCUUUGAAUCUUUGGAUUUAGGAUUUGUUUGAAUUAUCCUUCUAAUUAGUUACUUUUCUCAUUUCCUACUGGAUAGAAAUGUGUUUGACUCUGGAUAUUUUCAUCAUUUCAGGCAAGAAUUAUUGAUUUUUAUUAUAGUCUGAUUA